GCGGGAGUAGCUCAGCUGGUAGAGCAUCUGCCCUCCAAGUAGAUGGUCGCGGGUUCGAGUCCCGUCUCCCGCU
rnacentral:tRNA from 1 species